rnacentral:rRNA from 1 species
UACGAAGGGAGCUAGCGUUGUUCGGAAUCACUGGGCGUAAAGCGCACGUAGGCGGAUGUGUCAGUCAGGGGUGAAAUCCCGGAGCUCAACUUCGGAACUGCCUUUGAUACAGCACGUCUUGAGUCCGAUAGAGGUGGGUGGAAUUCCUAGUGUAGAGGUGAAAUUCGUAGAUAUUGGGAAGAACACCGGUGGCGAAGGCGGCCAUCUGGACCGCAACUGACGCUGAGGCGCGAAAGCGUGGGGAGCAAACAGG